rnacentral:rRNA from 1 species
AUUGAACGCUGGCGGCAGGCCUAACACAUGCAAGUCGGGCGAGUGGCGGACGGGUGAGUAAUGCUUGGGAAUCUAGCUUAUGGAGGGGGAUAACUACGGGAAACUGUAGCUAAUACCGCGUACCAUAGGAUGAGCCCAAGUGGGAUUAGCUAGUAGGUGGGGUAAAGGCUCACCUAGGCGACGAUCUCUAGCUGGUCUGAGAGGAUGAUCAGCCACCCUGGGACUGAGCCACGGCCCAGACUCCUACGGGAGGCAGCAGUGGGUAAUAUUGCAGCAUGGGGGCAAGCCUGAUGCAGCCAUGCCGCGUGUAUGAAGAAGGCCUUAGGGUUGUAAAGUACUUUCAGGCGGGAGGCGUUACCCGCAGAAGAAGCACCGGCUAACUCCGUGCCAGCAGCCGCGGUAAUUC